rnacentral:lncRNA from 1 species
CCAGGGGGUUCAGAUCCCACCCCAGGGGGGUCUCACCCAGCCCGGGGGGCUCCCGGCAGGUCCCGGUAGGGCAGCGAGAGGGGACACAAGACCCGACCCCAAAUCCUUUCCUGAUGGGAUCAGGGCUGGAUCCUGCCCCAUGGAGGGGUCAGAUCCCACCUGAGGGGAUCAAACCCCACCUGGAGGGGAUCAAACCCCACCUGAGGGGGUUCAGAUCCCCCCCGGGGGGUCUCACCCAGCUCGGGGGGCUCCCGGCAGGUCCCGGCAGGGCAGCGAGAAGGAAACAACACCAAACCCCAAAUCCUUUCCUGAUGGGAUCGGGACCAGAUCCCACCUGGAGGGACCAGAUCCCCCCCGGGGGGUCUCACCCAGCUCGGGGGGCUCCCGGCAGGUCCCGGCAGGGCAGCGAGAAGGAAACAACACCAAACCCCAAAUCCUUUCCUGAUGGGAUCAGGGCUGGAUCCCACCUGGAGGAAUCAGAUCC